rnacentral:rRNA from 1 species
AGUGAACGCUGGCGGUAGGCCUAACACAUGCAAGUCGAACGGCAGCACAGUAAGAGCUUGCUCUUACGGGUGGCGAGUGGCGGACGGGUGAGGAAUACAUCGGAAUCUACUUUUUCGUGGGGGAUAACGUAGGGAAACUUACGCUAAUACCGCAUACGACCUACGGGUGAAAGCAGGGGAUCUUCGGACCUUGCGCGAUUGAAUGAGCCGAUGUCGGAUUAGCUAGUUGGCGGGGGAAAGGCCCACCAAGGCGACGAUCCGUAGCUGGUCUGAGAGGAUGAUCGGCCACACUGGAACUGGGACACGGUCCAGACUCCUGCGGGAGGCAGCAGUGGGGAAUAUUGGACAAUGGGCGCAAGCCUGAUCCAGCCAUACCGCGUGGGUGAAGAAGGCCUUCGGGUUGUAAAGCCCUUUUGUUGGGAAAGAAAAGCAGCAGGUUAAUACCCCGCUGUUCUGACGGUACCCAAAGAAUAAGCACCGGCUAACUUCGUG